rfam:Salmo salar isolate Sally breed double haploid chromosome ssa04, whole genome shotgun sequence.
GGCAUUCACUACUGUAAGUCGCUCUGGAUAAGAGCGUCUGCCAAAUUACUAAAA